AAUGCUCUGAUUGUCUGAAUUCAGUCAGGUAUCUCACAUGUGGCACCAGGAUGGUUUAGAAUCGCCGGCCAAAGAGAGCAGGACCCAUUCUCGUUAGAGAAAUCUUUCAAGCAUGGACACUACUUAAAACCACACUGAGACAUCUCUGAACCACUUCAGAAGGUUCACGAUCACAACAUCAAACACCGUCAACUAUUGAUGAUUCCAGAACUUCUGGGAGAGCUUUCGCUCCACACAACGAAGCUUGGCACAGCUCACAUUUUCCUCUGACCCCAUGACAAAUCUCAUUUCUCAUGUCCAAAGAAGCUGACCUCUAGAGAAACACGGACUGGAUGGGCCUGGAUUUAGCACCGUUGAAUGAUCAGAGACAAACAGCAGGACCUACAUCCUGCAGGAGAAAGGGGCUCAGCUACAAAUUAGAGCUUGAUUCUCGGAGCCCCAAAAAGUCCC